GCAAUGGACGACACCCUGCCGUAUGCGUUUGAUUCUGAUACUGCAGACGAUUUAGAUAAAGAUGCAGCAGAGGAAAUACUGCCAGCAGACCUGGCAGAAAGAGACUUGGCGGAAGACUCGCCAGUAGACGAUGUUGCUGAACAAGCAAACGUCGAAACACAAAAAACGCACAAUCAAAAUUGUGCAUACAGCAUUGUGUUUGACAACGUCAACAGCCAUUUGCGUGCACACCAGACCUCAAG